UACGAAGGGAGCUAGCGUUGUUCGGAAUCACUGGGCGUAAAGCGCACGUAGGCGGAUGUGUCAGUCAGACGUGAAAUCCCUCGGCUCAACCGGGGAACUGCGUCUGAUACUGGGUGGCUUGAAUUCGGGAGAGGGAUGCGGAAUUCCAGGUGUAGCGGUGAAAUGCGUAGAUAUCUGGAGGAACACCGGUGGCGAAGGCGGCAUCCUGGACCGAGAUUGACGCUGAGGCGCGAAAGCCAGGGGAGCAAACGGG
rnacentral:rRNA from 1 species